rnacentral:rRNA from 1 species
GACGAACGCUGGCGGCGUGCUUAACACAUGCAAGUCGAACGGAAAGGCCCUGCUUUUGUGGGGUGCUCGAGUGGCGAACGGGUGAGUAACACGUGAGUAACCUGCCCUUGACUUUGGGAUAACUUCAGGAAACUGGGGCUAAUACCGGAUAGGAGCUCCUGCUGCAUGGUGGGGGUUGGAAAGUUUCGGCGGUUGGGGAUGGACUCGCGGCUUAUCAGCUUGUUGGUGGGGUAGUGGCUUACCAAGGCUUUGACGGGUAGCCGGCCUGUGAGGGUGACCGGCCACAUUGGGACUGAGAUGCGGCCCAGACUCCUACGGCAGACAGCAGUGGGGAAUAUUGCACAAUGGGCUGAAGCCUGAUGCAGCAACGCCGCGUGCGGGAUGACGGCCUUCGGGUUGUAAACCGCUUUCGCAUGUGACGAAGCGUGAGUGACGGUAAUGUGUAAAGAAGCACCGGCUAACUACGUG